GCAAUGGAUUGGAUGAAUAUUUUCCUUCUCUUGAUAUGUUGUUGCAAAAAUUGUAAGUUCAAGUCAUUGUUGUUAUUCACUUUAUUAUGUAAGUGACUUUCUUAUUGUUGAACAUUAUGCAUACAUAUAUUCUCUUUGAUAGGGUGCAUCUCAAAAUACAGUUUGUGAUGAAUUUAUGUUAUCUAUUGUCAGCUUCCAACCCUCACAUCAAAGGGAUCUUUUAUCCCAGCUUCAUCAGGUUUACGGAACGUGCCAACACAUCUUAGAUUCGGGUAAUUUAUUUAUAUACCACUACCUAAUAUGGGAUGAGUAAAUAUGAAUAUACUUGAGAUUAGUGAAAACAAUUUUUGCAAGCCUCUUAUUGUAUUGCAAAAUAUAGAAGACAUGUUUUUACCAACUUCAUUUUUGUGUAAAAAGUUGUUCCCAAUUUUCUUACCUUAAAUUCACAUUAGGAUUAUAAAUUAACAUUAAAGCCCUAAGCAAGAUUUACAAAACUCUGACCAAGUUCAUCGAUAUCCCAUUCACACAAAUCCUCUCGGCCAGUUCUAUCUCCAUGACAAACACACAGUGAAAUCAUUAUACAUUCUAAUCAUUGUUCUUAGCUUUGUUUUCUCUUUAAUUAGUAGAGUUGCCUACGUCAUGGUUGUUCCCUUAAAUGUUAUAUUUUCCUCAACUCUUCGAGUAGGUUGAGGAGAUUAAAGAGUUCAUAGUUGGUGGUGAAUCUUUUCUAUACACAAUUAACUAAAACGAUCCCAUUUCUCUGUUUUAAUAUUAUUUAGUUGGAGUUUUAAUAUUCAUUGAGUUUCUGAUCUUUGCGAUUACUUCCUUGCAUGCAGAAUAGACUUCUCUUGUACACAAUGCUUUGAGUGGGUGUCUUGGCAGUUACUUGAAAGGAACUUUAUUUCACUUCUAGGUGAGUUUGAUUUUCAACCUUUUGUAGAAUAGUAUAUAGGUUAAUUGUAUUUUUACAAAUUGAAUACUACUACCUUUCUUAUAAAUAGGGUAAUUAUGCAUUUAGUUUCAUUAAUCAUACACUAGAUCUUGAAGCAUUGGAACUCAAAAUGCAAAUNNNNNNNNNNNNNNNNNNNNNNNNNNNNNNNNNNNNNNNNNNNNNNNNNNNNNNNNNNNNNNNNNNNNNNNNNNNNNNNNNNNNNNNNNNNNNNNNNNNNUCCACUGAUAGAGCAAUGCACUUUUUAAACUAAAAUUGUUCACAAAGAAGACCCUUGGUAGGAACAAAUUACUUAAAAUAAUAUAAACAGUUACAUGAGAGAGGUUGUGAAAAAUUGUCCUGAACAACAAGAUAAGGAACAUAUAUUGACACAUUCUACGAUCUAUUAAGGUAAUGCUUUGUAAGUUUUCGGGUUCACUUUUUCUGUUUGCAUUGAGUUACUUUUCUAAAUUACGCUACAACUUUAAUGUCACGUACUUUUACAAUCAUUAAAAUCAAAACUGUCAAUGAACUGGUUAUUAUUCAAUUUAGUAACAUAUCCUUAACUUUCUCAUCCUCGGGGGAGCAUUUGUUAUCCUUAGAACUAACGAUUAAAACUAUAGGUUAAGUGUGGAAUUUGUUUUAAUCAUUAAAACUAUAGCCUUUUAUUAUCCACUAUUCUUAAAAGGCCUCUCCUAGACUUAAAAAUAUGGAUUUAGCCUACAUGUUUAUUAAAAUAUUUCAAUAUUAUAGUAAAAGGUUCAGACAAAAUAUUGCAAAGAUCUAAUAAAGAACACAAAAAGAAAAACAAGAUUGUUCAUUAUGCGGCUAUACCAAAGGUAAACAUUAUCUUUUUGCUAUUUUAUUCUAGAGUUGUAUUAUUACUUUAUGGUAUUAGGAAAAAAAAUAUUUGUUUGUAUUUUCAUUAGAAUAGAAAAAGUUAUCUACGUAGAAGUGUUCCAUGAUAAUUAAAAUUUGUUUUCUGAAGUAGGAUAAUCUCUAUUCAGACUCACUCCUUGGUAGGAAUGGAUCAUAUUUACAUUUCAUAUUGUUUUAGGACAAGAGAGCUAAUAAGAUAAUAAGUACACAUCUGCGUUUCAUAUUCUUCAAAUAAAUAAGUUGGCUUAGAAAAAUCACUAUCAGUACUACUAGCUCAGAUAAGCCAUGUCUAAGGGUUUACAAAUCUGCCAUACAUGCUUAGAAACUGGCUUCCAUUUGUGUUGGUUAAUUGAUUCUGGAGCUCAAAGCUUAACAGAAGAGCUCGAAGCUCAAUAAAAAUCAGUACUUGAUUUUUCAUUGUGCAGACUUUCAUUUUCUGUUCUUACUUUAUUUCUAAUGACGUUACUGUUUAUUUUUAGUCCCUAUUUUUCUAACUAAAAUAGAUCACUAAUUACCUGACAGUAGUUCAUUUGACCCAUUGCAGACAUAUAUUUAGGUAGGCAUGUUGACUUGCUUGGUCAUUUUGUUGAAGUGAUGUGUCUAUUUGUUUGUGAUGUAGUCUUAUUAUAUAUAUCCCAAUUUGUCUAUUUCUACUAAUAAUAAGAUUGUUAAUGUUAGUAAAACCAAUCCUCCGCCGAUAUGAUUUUGACAGUACACAGUACAUACCUAAAAAUUUUAUACAAAUCAUAUUUCAAGUGCUACCUUUGUGCAUAACCCUUUGAUUUUACUAUUAAGUUCUAAAGCUGCAAAUCUUAACUAUACUCUUUAUGGAAAUUUAUGAAUUCUCCUUUGAAAGAUGAAUCAAAUUGUUUGAUUCCUUCUUUAUCGAUUGAAAAGUUUGCCAAAUUUGAAGGUAUUCCAUUCUUUUUCCACUAAUAAGUUUGGAUCCCUGCGUACUACUAAAACCAUAGAAAUCCUUUUACAUAUACUACGAUAUAUUUUGCAAUAGCUUUGGUUUUCUUUUCAUUUUCAAACAAUACAAGCUUUAUAUACCUGAACUGAAAACCAUAAUGUAAAUUUUCCUCACUAAGACAUCUAUAUGUAGGUUUGCACUUUUUCAUAAUUUUUAUAUACAACCAUAAUAUUGGGUUCUUAACCACUUCUUUUCAUUGCAGGUAAACGUUCAAAGGCUUCACCAGAUAACCAGUUUAAAAGCAAGGUAUGAUCUUAUUUUAAUUUUGAAUAAUUAUAAAAUAACCAGGAGGUG
rnacentral:lncRNA from 1 species